UGUGGAUGAGGAUGUGCUAGCUGGAGCUGCAGCAACCACAUUACAAUCAGGAGGGCCCAAGUCUACAGUUGAAAAGCUAAUAUGCUCAGGGUAGCAGUGGAGCAAGACAGACAGAACCUGCUGGGUCUUUGAUACCUGUGUUGAGCUACCUCAUGCAUCCUGGUGACUUCACACCACUUGAGUAAACAAACUGAAGGCCAAAGACAUGCCCAAGGCAUCAACCAGGGAUAAUGAUUUGCCGUAAAGUAUACAGCAAACAAAAUUGGCAAGAAAACCAUAUCAACUCUUUUCAACUUUAAAGCUGGCAUUCUCCUCCCUGUUCUCUACCUUUCUGACUAGAGGAUCCUUGAGGGCUGCAUGGGUUACCCUUCACUACUGAUUUAACAUGCACGGGGUCACAAGACAGAGCCUAAGGGGAUCAGGAGUAGUUUGUGAGGACCAGUUCCACCUCAUUCAAACUUCCUUUCCCAUUUUUUGUACCCACAAGGCCUAAUUAGAAAAAUAAAGACAGAAUUCUAUGCUGAUUGAAAAA